GCCUGCGUGGCUCAGUCGGUUGAGUGUCUGACUUUGGCUCAGGUCAUGAUCUCUCGGUUUGUGAGUUUGAGCCCCACAUCGGGCU
rnacentral:tRNA from 1 species